ensembl:misc_RNA
AAAGACAGAAUAACAGGCUUCCAGGUCCCUAUGCCCCAAGGAAGAGACUGACCAGGAACCCAUGAAGGCUGGGUUCAAUGAGACAAGUACAUCCUUGCAAGUAAAGGUGCAGAAAGUCAGCCAGGACUUCCAGGC